GAACCGAAUCAUUUCCUCUAGUGAUGUAUGCGCUACUUUUUCAGCAGAUGAGGUGCACGCUACUCCUCUUCUCUGGUGUUUUUGUUGGGGGUUACAGGGGCGGGGCGCACGUGCACAUGCAUCGUCUGAUCAUACUCCGACUUUGCUGGUUACAUGGCAGAGAAAAUCGAAUUCCAAUCCCAUUAUCUGGGUGUCGUAACUACACUCUUAACUACACUAUCUGGAAUCAAUUUUAUUAGACGAAACUACCUUUGGUUUUUUUUGUUUUGUUUUUUUUUCACUGCUAAAUUUCCACCACAACAACUUUCAUACAAUAGGACACAGCAUGUAACAAGUAGUGCAUUAAACCCGCAGCAUUCUAUCAUUGCAGCUGUUUGCGAGGGAACGGUGCAUGUUCAGUGCGAGUUCUUCGAAACGUUCAGUGAACGAAUCACUCACUGAGCAGACCUGAUAAAUAGCAUACCAUAGGACAGUACACUUAAAACAUCAUGACUUAUAAACAAGUUCAUUUUUACAAACCUGUUUGCCAAAGCAACACAGACAAACACUCAAACAAAGCUAUGAACUGAAAUGAAUCCUGAAUCGUUCAGCUGUGUAUCAGUUCAGAAGGUCAGAGUCUCCUGCCAAAUGCUACAUGAUUUGGUGAUUUAGUGAAUGUAUCUUUUGAACUAAUCUUUUUAGUGAACUGAUUCUAGUGAUUCAGCACAUCUAAAAG